AGUGUAAAAAAAAAAAAAAAAAAAAAAAAAAAA
rnacentral:ribozyme from 1 species